rnacentral:misc_RNA from 1 species
GAUGAAGAACGUAGCGAAAUGCGAUAAGUAAUGUGAAUUGCAGAAUUUAGUGAAUCAUCGAAUCUUUGAACGCAUAUUGCGCCCGCCAGCACUCUGGCGGGCAUGCCUGUUCGAGCGUCAUUUCAACCCUCAGGCCUCGCGCCUGGCGUUGGGGCGCUGCGGCCCUCCCGCAGGCCCCCAAAUUUAGCGGCGGAUUCCCCGCGGCCCUGAGCGCAGUAGAGAGUAAAAACUUUAACGCUCCGGCGGCCGUGGCGCGGUUCUGCCUCUUUCCCAAUAGCGCCAAUAGCGCCACCCCCAAAAAAGUUGACCUCGGAUCAGGUAGGACUACCCGCUGAACUUAAGCAUAUCAAUAAGCGGAGGA